rnacentral:rRNA from 1 species
CCUACGGGCGGCUGCAGUGGGGAAUCUUGCACAAUGGGGGAAACCCUGAUGCAGCGACGCCGCGUGAGCGAUGAAGCCCUUCGGGGUGUAAAGCUCUUUCGGCAGGGAAGAUGAUGACGGUACCUGCAGAAGCAGCUGCGGCUAACUACGUGCCAGCAGCCGCGGUAAUACGUAGGCAGCAAGCGUUGUUCGGAGUUACUGGGCGUAAAGGGUGUGUAGGCGGUUCUUUAAGUUUGGUGUGAAAUCUCCCGGCUCAACUGGGAGGGUGCGCCGAAUACUGAGGGACUAGAGUGCGGGAGAGGAAAGUGGAAUUCCUGGUGUAGCGGUGAAAUGCGUAGAUAUCAGGAGGAACACCGGUGGUGUAAACGGCUUUCUGGACCGUAACUGAUGCUGAGACACGAAAGCGUGGGUAGCAAACAGGAUUAGAUACCCCUGUAGUC